rnacentral:rRNA from 1 species
AUUGAACGCUGGCGGCGGGCCUAACACAUGCAAGUCGAGCGGAGAGGCGGAGGGGUGAGGAAUGCCUAGGAAUCUGACUGGUCGUGGGGGAUAACGUCCGGAACCGGGCGCUAAUACCGCAUCCUAUCAGAGGAGCAUAGGUCGGCUUGGCUAGUUGGUGGGGUAAAGGCCUACCAAGGCGACGAUCCGUAACUGGUCUGGGAGGAGGAUCAGUCACACUGGAACUGAGACACGGUCCAGACUCCUCCGGGAGGCAGCAGUGGGGAAUAUUUGACAAUGGGCGAAAGCCUGAGCCAGCCAUGCCGCGUGUGUGAAGAAGGUCUUCGGAUUGUAAAGCACUUUAAGUUGGGAGGCGUUACCAACAGAAUAAGCACCGGCUAACUUCGUGCCAGCAGCCGCGGUAAUUC